rnacentral:ncRNA from 1 species
GCCGUGAGGCUUUGGGUGAAGGAAGUGGUGUAGCGAUUCUUUCGAGGUUACGAACAGAAAUCUGAUAUAAGGCUUCAGGUGGGUGAGAUUGCUCUACAAAUCGAAGCCCAAAAGGUAAACGUAAAACCAAAACAGUAAAUCAGGAAUUUGUGAAAGAAGAGA